GGACAACCUACCCUCCGGACGGGUAUAAACCCGGGAAACUGGGUAUAAUCCCCGAUAGAUCUCGGUCGCUGGAAAGCCCCGAGAUCGAAAGCUCCGGCGCCAGAGGAUGGGUCUGCGGCCUAUCAGGUAGUAGUGGGUGUAGCGUACCUACUAGCCUACGACGGGUACGGGUUGUGAGAGCAAGAGCCCGGAGAUGGAUUCUGAGACACGAAUCCAGGCCCUACGGGGUGCAGCAGGCGCGAAAACUUUACAAUGCCGGCAACGGCGAUAAGGGGACCUCGAGUGCCAGGUUACAAAUCUGGCUGUCGUGAUGCCUAAAAAGCAUUGCAUAGCAAGGGCCGGGCAAGACCGGUGCCAGCCGCCGCGGUAACACCGGCGGCUCGAGUGGUAACCGUUAUUAUUGGGUCUAAAGGGUCUGUAGCCGGCCGGAUAAGUCUCUUGAGAAAUCCAGCAGCUCAACUGUUGGGCUUUCAGGAGAUACUGUCUGGCUCGAGGCCGGGAGAGGUGAGAGGUACUUCAGGGGUAGGGGUGAAAUCUUGUAAUCCUUGAAGGACCACCAGUGGCGAAGGCGUCUCACCAGAACGGACCUGACGGCAAGGGACGAAAGCUAGGGGCACGAACCGGAUUAGAUACCCGGGUAGUCCCAGCUGUAAACUAUGCUCGCUAGGUGUCAGGGACGGUGCGACCGUUUCUGGUGCCGCAGGGAAGCCGUGAAGCGAGCCACCUGGGAAGUACGGUCGCAAGGCUGAAACUUAA
rnacentral:rRNA from 1 species